rnacentral:ncRNA from 2 species
CCUGAAUUUCAUAUGGCUUCUCGUAUAUGUGCAGGAAUAGGCCUGCAUGUCUCUACCCAGUCACCGGAAUGAUUGGACUACGGGAUCACGACUCUUCGUG